rnacentral:rRNA from 1 species
UACAGAGGGGGCAAGCGUUAUUCGGAAUUAUUGGGCGUAAAGGGCGCGUAGGCGGCUUUGCAAGUGACGGGUGAAAUCCCUCGGCUUAACCGAGGAACUGCCUGUCAAACUGCAUGGCUUGAGACCAGGAGAGGUGAGUGGAAUUCCCAGUGUAGCGGUGAAAUGCGUAGAUAUUGGGAGGAACACCAGUGGCGAAGGCGGCUUUCUGGUCUGUUCUUGACGCUGAGGCGCGAAAGCUAGGGUAGCAAACGGG